rnacentral:rRNA from 1 species
GAUGAACGCUGGCGGCGUGCUUAACACAUGCAAGUCGAACGGAAAGGCUCCUGCUUGCAGGGGUACUCGAGUGGCGAACGGGUGAGUAACACGUGGGUGAUCUGCCCUGCACUUCGGGAUAAGCCUGGGAAACUGGGUCUAAUACCGGAUAGGACGAUGGUUUGGAUGCCAUUGUGGAAAGUUUUUUCGGUGUGGGAUGAGCUCGCGGCCUAUCAGCUUGUUGGUGGGGUAAUGGCCUACCAAGGCGUCGACGGGUAGCCGGCCUGAGAGGGUGUACGGCCACAUUGGGACUGAGAUACGGCCCAGACUCCUACGGGAGGCAGCAGCGGGGAAUAUUGCACAAUGGGCGCAAGCCUGAUGCAGCGACGCCGCGUGGGGGAUGACGGCCUUCGGGUUGUAAACUCCUUUCGCUAGGGACGAAGCGCAAGUGACGGUACCUGGAGAAGAAGCACCGGCUAACUACGUG